UGCAUGUCUAAGUAUAAGCAAUUAUACGGCGAAACUGCGAAUGGCUCAUUAUAUAAGUUAUCGUUUAUUUGAUAGUACCUUACUACUUGGAUAACCGUGGUAAUUCUAGAGCUAAUACAUGCUUAAAAUCCCGACUUCGGAAGGGAUGUAUUUAUUAGAUUAAAAACCAAUGCCCUUCGGGGCUCUCUGGUGAUUCAUGAUAACUUCUCGAAUCGCAUGGCCUUGCGCCGGCGAUGGUUCAUUCAAAUUUCUUCCCUAUCAACUUUCGAUGUUUGGGUAUUGGCCAAACAUGGUUGCAACGGGUAACGGAGGGUUAGGGCUCGACCCCGGAGAAGGAGCCUGAGAAACGGCUACUACAUCCAAGGAAGGCAGCAGGCGCGCAAAUUACCCAAUCCCGACUCGGGGAGGUAGUGACAAUAAAUACUGAUACAGGGUUCUUUUGGAUCUUGUAAUUGGAAUGAGUACAAUUUAAAUCCCUUAACGAGGAACAAUUGGAGGGCAAGUCUGGUGCCAGCAGCCGCGGUAAUUCCAGCUCCAAUAGCGUAUAUUAAAGUUGUUGUGGUUAAAAAGCUCGUAGUUGAACCUUGGGCCUGGCUGGCCGGUCCGCCUCACCGCGUGUACUGGUCCGGCCGGGCCUUUCCCUCUGUGGAACCCUAUGCCCUUCACUGGGUGUAGCGGGGAAACAGGACUUUUACUUUGAAAAAAUUAGAGUGCUCCAGGCAGGCCUUUGCUCGAAUACAUUAGCAUGGAAUAAUAAAAUAGGACGUGUGGUUCUAUUUUGUUGGUUUCUAGGACCGCCGUAAUGAUUAAUAGGGACAGUCGGGGGCAUCAGUAUUCAAUUGUCAGAGGUGAAAUUCUUGGAUUUAUUGAAGACUAACUACUGCGAAAGCAUUUGCCAAGGAUGUUUUCAUUAAUCAGGAACGAAAGUUAGGGGAUCGAAGACGAUCAGAUACCGUCGUAGUCUUAACCAUAAACUAUGCCGACUAGGGAUCGGACGAUGUUAAAAAUUGACUCGUUCGGCACCUUACGAGAAAUCAAAGUGCUUGGGCUCCAGGGGGAGUAUGGUCGCAAGGCUGAAACUUAAAGAAA
rnacentral:rRNA from 1 species